UGGGGAAUAUUGCGCAAUAGGGGAAACCCUGACGCAGCGACGCCGCGUGGAGGAUGAAGGUCUUCGGGUUGUAAACUCCUUUUCUCAGGGAAAAUUAUGAUGGUACCUGAGGAAUAAGCCACGGCUAACUCUGUGCCAGCAGCCGCGGUAAGACAGAGGUGGCGAGCGUUGUUCGGAAUUACUGGGCUUAAAGGGCGAGUAGGCGUCCCGACAAGUCAGAUGUGGAAUCUUUUCGCUUAACGAAAAAAUUGCAUUUGAAACUGUCGGGAUUGAGUCAGUGAGGGGAGGGCGGAAUUCCUGGUGUAGCGGUGAAAUGCGUAGAUAUCAGGAGGAAGGCCUGUGGCGAAGGCGGCCCUCUGGCACUGGACUGACGCUGAGGCGCGAAAGCGUGGGGAGCAAA
rnacentral:rRNA from 1 species